UUUUUUUUUUUUUACUUUUUCUAAUUAAUUUACCUAAAAUCAUUUUAACCAACAUAAGUGAGAUACAUGAAAAUAAAUAAAUUACAUUUAUGAUCAUUAAAAUGUAUCCAAAUAAUCACUACAUAUUUUCUAACUAAAAUUUAGAUAAGAGACUACUAAUACAAAUUAAUCAUAUACUUAAUAAUAUGUAAAAAGUGUCAAAAUGCAUUACUUAAAUUUACAAAUAUCUAAAUAUCAUGUCUGAAUGCUAAGUUAAAAAAAUUAAAAUUGAUAAGUUAUUUUGAAAAAAGAUACGGACCUUUUGACUGAUGCUUGGAUUUAAGAUUAGGAACCUAAUCUCUUAAUUACUUGGGCCAAAGCUGGACUUUACAUGCUUCUAAUUUUUCCUUCAAUUUUUUUCCCUAUGGCUGGGUUCGGUACAAAAGCUCAUCUUCUGUUUAGUGCAGCCGCAAGUCCUUCAGUUUGUUUAGUGCACUUGCGGAUUCUUCCCUUCGGUUUGUUUAGUGCAGCCGCAAGUCACUGGAUUCUUCCCUUCAAUUUUAGCCAUUUCUUCCUCUGACUCUUCCCUUCAUUUUUUUUCCCAAUUUCCGUUGAUCAGUUUUUUCACCUCCUUCACGGCCAAAUAAGGUGGAAAUUGAAGAGCCGGCCGUCACCUUUACUCUUUCUUUUGCUUUCCCUUUCCCGCUAUUGUUGUCUUCCUCCAACAGCCUGCCGUCACCUCUGUUUUGAGCCGCAGCCGGACGAUGAAGAAAUUGCAGAACCGAUCGGCUUGUUUCUCCAGCCGGCCGUCACCUUUAUUCUGGAGUGAACCUCAAAAACUAGUGAUGGAUUGCAGAAAUUGCAAAACAAUGAAGAAAUUGCAGAACGAUGAAGAAAUUGCAGAAAUUGCUGGUAUGCUUCUCUUUAUCCCCACUUUUUCCUUGUCUUUGUGGCUGCAAAAUGAAACAAUAAAGCAUGGGAAAAGACUGCAACAACCGUGUGGACCACCCCUUGUAAUUGUAGUUUUGUUUGGUUUUGUAAAAGGCUCUGCAACAGCCGUAGCUAACUGUGGUGCGAUGCCUUAUGUGUUCUUUCGGUGUCGGUUCCUUUUUUGUUUGGUUUUGGCUUCCCAGUUGGUGUGUAAAUUUGUUAGCCGAUACAUAUCCGAGUUGAAUCCGAAAAUUUGGCCGUUAUCUUGCUACACGGUGCUAAUUCGGACGAUAUCGGCUGAUUCGGAGCGAUUCAAAUCGGAUAUGGUGGAAUCGGUGUUUCGGGUAUCGGUAUCGGAACGGCACCUGCCGUUCCGGUUAUGACUCUGCCAAGUCGUCUCGGACUCGGCCGAGUUGGCGAACCCUGGACUCAAUGGGAAUGAUACUGUACCGGCACUCUAGAAAAGUUCAAGCUUUGACACCUUUGCAAACUGAGGCGUUGGCCUGCUUACAUGCUCUCAGAUAUCUUCUAACUAUUCCCUGCAAUUCUGUUGAUAUUAAAACUGACUCCCUUUGUUAUUGCAAUAGAUUGAGGAUCCGGCCAAGUCGCCCCAACUGGUGCGGGCUAUUGUGGAAGACAUCUUAUGUUUAUGUAGUUGUUUCUCUUUCGUUCGAGUAGUCAAGGUUUGUAGCAAGACUGUAGCUAAAGCUCAUGCUUUAGCCAAUGUAAUCAGAGGUUCAUAAUGCAAGUUUUAUUUUCUUCUCAAAAAAAAAAAAGACAAGUUCACAAAUAGGAUUUAGGAACAAAUACCUAAAGUUUCAUGGUAUUUCAUAUUUUCCCUAGAAUGUUUUAAAUAAUUAUAAUCAUUACCCUAAUAUUGUCAAAUAUUUGUUUAUAGCCUUAAAUUUUGAUAUAUAUUCUCAAAUAAGUCC
rnacentral:lncRNA from 1 species